rnacentral:rRNA from 1 species
UGGGGAAUAUUGCACAAUGGGGGAAACCCUGAUGCAGCGACGCCGCGUGAACGAAGAAGGUAUUCGUAUCGUAAAGUUCUGUACUAUGGGAAGAUAAUGACAGUACCAUAGAAGAAAGCUCCGGCUAAAUACGUGCCAGCAGCCGCGGUAAUACGUAUGGAGCGAGCGUUGUCCGGAAUUAUUGGGCGUAAAGGGUACGCAGGCGGUUUAAUAAGUCGAAUGUUAAAGAUCGGGGCUCAACCCCGUAAAGCAUUGGAAACUGAUAAACUUGAGUAGUGGAGAGGAAAGUGGAAUUCCUAGUGUAGUGGUGAAAUACGUAGAUAUUAGGAGGAAUACCAGUAGCGAAGGCGACUUUCUGGACACAAACUGACGCUGGGGUACGAAAGCGUGGGGAGCAAACAGG